rnacentral:rRNA from 1 species
CCCUUAGAUGUUCUGGGCCGCACGCGUGCUACACUGAGUGGAUCAGCGGGUCAGGUUGCGCGAAAGCGUUUCCUAAUCUUUAAAUCCGCUCGUGAUGGGGAUUGACGGUUGCAAUUUUCUGUCAUGAACGAGGAAUACCUUGUAAGCGCGGGUCAUCAUCCCGCGCUGAAUACGUCCCUGCCCUUUGUACACACCGCCCGUCGCUCCUACCGAUUGAGUGGUCCGGUGAAUAAUUCGGACUGCAGCAAUGUUCAGCUCCUGAAUGUUGCAGCGGAAAGUUUAGUGAACCUUAUCACUUAGAGGAAGGAGAAGUCGUAACA